rnacentral:sRNA from 1 species
CCACAGAAUCUACCCAGAAAUACCAGCAGAUGUCAACCAGUGCAACUAAUGCCAACACCUCAAACACUACUAGACUCAUCAAGACUACAAAUCCAACAUAUUCAACUAAUGCUGAUGCCCCAAACACAACCAGACGUAACAAGACUACUGACCCAACCUUUUCAAUUAAUGCCAAAGGUA